GACAUGUUUGACAGUUUUUUAAACCUUAAAAAACAGGUAAAUUAACCAGAAUUUCUCCAGACGACGAAUUAACACACAAAGUGGAGUUUUAUGUAACUUGUGUAGCAUUAUUUAGCUGUUUUUCCUCAGGUAACCAUGAUGAAUCCCACUAAUUGGAAGCAACAGCCUCAGUGACAGAGAAUAGCCCCGCUGGUUGCCAUGGUUCCCUGCAGCAAUCCAUCUCAGUUCGUGUGCUUGUGAGGACUGAAGGGAAU